rnacentral:rRNA from 1 species
UACGUAGGGUGCAAGCGUUAAUCGGAAUUACUGGGCGUAAAGGGUGCGUAGGCGGUUGCUUAAGUCUGUUGUGAAAUCCCCGGGCUCAACCUGGGAAUGGCAAUGGAUACUGGGCAGCUAGAGUGUGUCAGAGGAUGGUGGAAUUCCCGGUGUAGCGGUGAAAUGCGUAGAGAUCGGGAGGAACAUCAGUGGCGAAGGCGGCCAUCUGGGACAACACUGACGCUGAAGCACGAAAGCGUGGGGAGCAAACAGG